UGAAAGAGGGAGGAGAGAAGUGGAGUGGAAGAAAAAAUUCAGGUCCUCAAAAAUCUCUAUGGUGAAUUGGUGAUGUGAUAUGAAUGAUUCUGAUGAGUAUCGCCUUCGCUAAUUAAUACAAUAAUUCAGAUAUAUUGGAAUUUGAUUGAACAUUUUAAACCUAGUAAUUUUGUGUAUUAAUGGUUGUCAAUUUGUAAAAAUCUAAAAUGGUUGUUCGAGUAUAUAUUUCGGGGAUUUCCGGCAAUAAGGAGGUGAAGAAACGUCAGCAAAGAGUCACCAUGAUAUUAGAUAGCAAAAACAUUAAGUAUAAUUUGAUUGAUAUCACUGAACCAGGUAAAGAACAUGAGAAAGAAUUCAUGCAAGAAAACAGCAAAACAAGGGAUUCAAAGUACCCAUUACCUCCUCAAAUUUUCAAUGACGAUCACUACUGUGGGGAUUAUGAAGAAUUUGAUAUGGCCAACGAAUUAGACGAAUUGGAGAAAUUUUUAAAUUCUUCAAACAAUUCGAACACCGGAGAAAAUGGAGUUGUCAACGGAUCUUCGGAAUUUGAAAAACCGGAAUCAUUCAACGUGAAAGAAGAUAUACGCGAGAGGAAUAACUUUUACGACUCUGUGCUUUGCUUACCACCGUUGUUUAUUAUAGUACGGAAGAAAAUUUAGAUGUUGUGAAUGAUAGCAAUGCAGAAGCAGUGUCGUUAGACAACAUUGAUGAAAUCGAGGAGUCCCCUCUUGUUGAAUCUGAUGAAAUAUUAGAUGAGCAUGAAAGUAUAAAGAAUGAAAAUGAUAUGAAAGAUGAGACAGAAGAUCCUAAAGAAGACAUCUCUACGGAAGAAUGAAAAAUGAAUUAUUCCCCGUUUCACUUACUUUUAUGAAGAUUACGUUAUUGUGUACUUAAAAAAUAAUGAUCACGUUAGUUUGAAACUUGGCUCGCUUCAAGAACAUUUACCAAAAAGAAAACCAAAACUACCUGAAAACUACCCAAUUCGAAUCAUAAUUUUCAAAUUAAAUUAAUGUCGCUAAUUUUGUCUUCCACAGUGUUAUGUUUUCAUUGUCAACUGUAUGUUGAAGAUUCUCAUACAAGUUGCAGGUUGUAAAAUUAUGUAUAAUUAUUUUAAAAUUAUUUCUUGGCAUUAAAUGCUGCAGUUCGUGAAUCGAAUAGUUUCUCACAAGCAAAGGGAAUGCACGGAGAUUCGAAUUUAAAUAGCACAAAAAGUUUCAUGUUAUGAAAUAGUUAAUUAUUUACUCAGUUCAUUGUUGUUUUUUCUUCUGCGUUUUAAAUGCUAAUAAUAUUUUAAAAAGUGUUGAAAUAAUUACAAAAAAUAAAAUAAUGUAUUGUAGUAUAAUGUUUCAAAGCAAUUUAAAUGGUAAAGAACAUGUUUUAUUCGUGUGUAUGUAAUUGAGAUCAGGGAUGAAAACAUUUCACAAACUAUCAAAGUUCCAAUUUAUUGUUUUACCAAGAAAAAGUUCUAGGUCAUUAACUUGUUGCCAUAUUAAGGUACUGAACCAUUCUGAAUAUUUAUGCAUUGGUCAUCAUAAUUCAUCAUUAAAAUCGAAAUCAAAAUUACUCAUGACUCGUUCAAAAGAAAUAACUUUUGUGA